AGCAGUCGCCACGGUAAUACGAAGGUCCCGAGCGUUGUUCGGAAUCACUGGGCGUAAAGGGAGCGUAGGCGGCGUGGUAAGUCAGAUGUGAAAUCCCGGGGCUCAACCCCGGAACUGCAUCCGAUACUGCCAUGCUAGAGGAUUGGAGAGGUAGCUGGAAUUCUUGGUGUAGCAGUGAAAUGCGUGGAGAUCAAGAGGAACACUCGUGGCGAAAGCGAGCUACUGGACAAUAACUGACGCUGAGGCUCGAAGGCCAGGGUAGCGAAAGGGAUUAGAGACCCCUGUAGUCCCUGUCUCUUAUAC
rnacentral:rRNA from 1 species